rnacentral:sRNA from 1 species
GGGUGCACCGCCGACCGACC